rnacentral:lncRNA from 1 species
AAUUUUUGAAAUACCAAAAUGAAAACAAUACCAAAACCAGCUAACCUUGCGAGAUAUCGCUUCUUGAAGACAGUAACAACCUCCCAUGGUGCAGAGAUAUAAAAAGUGUACACCCAAGAUUCAACUUAUUGGUCUGAUCCCUUUAUUAAUCGUAACACUAGAUGCCAAAAGUUUAAGAUUAUUUAGAUUCUGAGGUUACUCUUUCUUAUUGUUGCUACUUUUUCCUUCUUGGUUUACUGCCAUACAGUAGUGUCAUUAAUAAUCAAAUACAUGAAAAUGAAUGUGAUCUUUUCAUGAUGUAUCUAUGAACAAAUAAUGGUACAUGUACAUGACCUUACAAUAAUACAUAAACUACAUGAAAUUUUAAUAAUACAUGCACCUAGAUGAUAUUGAAAUGCAUUAAUUCAAGAAUUUACCUAUAUGCUGAUUCAUUCAUCUAGAAGAUAUUAAAAGUUAUGAUCAAUUUGUUACUAAAAUUAUAUCAUUUCCAAGAAGGAUUGAGUAUUUGGUAUAUAAAGCGAACAUGGUUAAGCAUCCUCAAUAUGUUUCGUGGUUUACACUAAAGAUAAAGUUCUCACCAAUGGAAGCCCAGCAAUUGACAGUAGUGCCAUGUCAAACACUCUUCUUGCAUUUUCUAUAUUACCAAAGAAGGCUUCUCUUCGUGCAUAAACUCCACAAAGUAAUAUAUUCUACGAGAAAAAAAGAAAAAGAUAGAUUAAUAAAAUCCACAUCGAAGUAACUUUCAAAAGAAAAUUCACAUCAAGGUAAGAACCAAAGGAAACACACAUGUCAAGAAAAAUAUGUCAAUUCGAAACCAUGUCCUCACUUACAAUGUAAGUUUCAUUUAACAUGUUCAAGUUUGCAAGCUGCUUUCGGCUUUAUCUCAUUGGGUGUAUGUGAUGUGUCAUAGAGCAAUUGAGUCUCAUAACCACCUAUUUUACAUUGUGACAUGGCUUGGAGAUCAUGGACCCACUUAUUUGACAUUUUCAGGGCCUCUCGCAUCUGGAGAGUUUCCUUUCCUACGCUAUUUCUAGUGUUUGUAAGAGCAAGGAAAUUAAGCUUUCAUAGCACAGGGCUCUUUGUUGACAUGUUGUUGGAUAGAAACAU